GACAGAGGCCUCAAGCGUUAGGCGGAAUCACUGGGCUUAAAGCGUGUGUAGGCGGAUCGUUAAGUGUCUUGUGAAAUCCCACGGCUCACCCGUGGAACGGCUGGGCAUACUGGCGAUCUUGGGCCAACUAGGGGCAACUGGAACAAGCGGUGGAGCGGUGAAAUGCGUUGAGAUCGGAAGGAACGCCCGUGGCGAAAGCGAGGUCCUGGACGUUUACUGACGCUGAGACGCGAAAGCCAGGGGAGCGAACGGG
rnacentral:rRNA from 1 species